rnacentral:tRNA from 1 species
AACUAAGAAGCGAUAAUUCGCAUCAAGUUUCGGCCUUGACCUAGGUAAUAAAUCACCCUUAGUUU